GAUGAACGCUGGCGGCGUGCCUAAUACAUGCAAGUCGAGCGAACGGACGAGAAGCUUGCUUCUCUGAUGUUAGCGGCGGACGGGUGAGUAACACGUGGAUAACCUACCUAUAAGACUGGGAUAACUUCGGGAAACCGGAGCUAAUACCGGAUAAUAUUUUGAACCGCAUGGUUCAAAAGUGAAAGACGGUCUUGCUGUCACUUAUAGGUGGAUCCGCGCUGCAUUAGCUAGUUGGUAAGGUAACGGCUUACCAAGGCAACGAUGCAUAGCCGACCUGAGAGGGUGAUCGGCCACACUGGAACUGAGACACGGUCCAGACUCCUACGGGAGGCAGCAGUAGGGAAUCUUCCGCAAUGGGCGAAAGCCUGACGGAGCAACGCCGCGUGAGUGAUGAAGGUCUUCGGAUCGUAAAACUCUGUUAUUAGGGAAGAACAUAUGUGUAAGUAACUGUGCACAUCUUGACGGUACCUAAUCAGAAAGCCACGGCUAACUACGUGCCAGCAGCCGCGGUAAUACGUAGGUGGCAAGCGUUAUCCGGAAUUAUUGGGCGUAAAGCGCGCGUAGGCGGUUUUUUAAGUCUGAUGUGAAAGCCCACGGCUCAACCGUGGAGGGUCAUUGGAAACUGGAAACCUUGAGUGCAGAAGAGGAAAGUGGAAUUCCAUGUGUAGCGGUGAAAUGCGCAGAGAUAUGGAGGAACACCAGUGGCGAAGGCGACUUUCUGGUCUGUAACUGACGCUGAUGUGCGAAAGCGUGGGGAUCAAACAGGAUUAGAUACCCUGGUAGUCCACGCCGUAAACGAUGAGUGCUAAGUGUUAGGGGGUUUCCGCCCCUUAGUGCUGCAGCUAACGCAUUAAGCACUCCGCCUGGGGAGUACGACCGCAAGGUUGAAACUCAAAGGAAUUGACGGGGACCCGCACAAGCGGUGGAGCAUGUGGUUUAAUUCGAAGCAACGCGAAGAACCUUACCAAAUCUUGACAUCCUUUGACAACUCUAGAGAUAGAGCUUUCCCCUUCGGGGGACAAAGUGACAGGUGGUGCAUGGUUGUCGUCAGCUCGUGUCGUGAGAUGUUGGGUUAAGUCCCGCAACGAGCGCAACCCUUAAGCUUAGUUGCCAUCAUUAAGUUGGGCACUCUAAGUUGACUGCCGGUGACAAACCGGAGGAAGGUGGGGAUGACGUCAAAUCAUCAUGCCCCUUAUGAUUUGGGCUACACACGUGCUACAAUGGACAAUACAAAGGGCAGCGAAACCGCGAGGUCAAGCAAAUCCCAUAAAGUUGUUCUCAGUUCGGAUUGUAGUCUGCAACUCGACUACAUGAAGCUGGAAUCGCUAGUAAUCGUAGAUCAGCAUGCUACGGUGAAUACGUUCCCGGGUCU
rnacentral:rRNA from 1 species